UUGGAGUGUAGAAAAUUAGCUAAAAUAUGCAUGUUGGACUUGAAUUUGACUUAGGAGAAAACUGACGCUUCUACACCGCCAUUUGAACAAACUAUCAGAUUUAGCCCUAGAAGCCGUAGUUUGAUUGUAUCACCGCAGUUUGUGGGCGGUAGAUACCCAGAAUAGUGUAGAAUAUAUUUACACUCGUGCUGAGGUGCCGAGUGUAUUUUUACAGCAGUGUUUAGGCUGUUCAGAAUUGUCGGGUGCCGUUGAGGUUGACGGUGAACCCAGAUUACUGUUUUUACAUCAGAUUGUACCGAGGGCACGUGAGUUCAGUUGUUAGACCCUGUUUACUUGACUAUAGCCUGUGAGAGCCUGAUUGAGCUCG
rnacentral:lncRNA from 1 species